rnacentral:rRNA from 1 species
CGGCACGGGUGAGUAACACGUAUCCAACCUGCCGUCUACUCUUGGCCAGCCUUCUGAAAGGAAGAUUAAUCCAGGAUGGCAUCAUGAGUUCACAUGUCCGCAUGAUUAAAGGUAUUUUCCGGUAGACGAUGGGGAUGCGUUCCAUUAGAUAGUAGGCGGGGUAACGGCCCACCAGUCAACGAUGGAUAGGGGUUCUGAGAGGAAGGUCCCCCACAUUGGAACUGAGACACGGUCCAA